AGGUCAUUUUGUGGGAAAUUCCUAAUUAGACCCUUGUAGCGCUCCUAUGCGUCGUAUAGCGGCUCUCCCAUUUCCUAUUCAAAAUUUGCAAUGGACUUUUUGAGUUU